GGGUCUGUACUGGUUUCGACAGGUCGUUGGAGACGGUAGCAGCACGCCGAGGAUGGUGGACACCUCGUAAAUCCGACACCAGACAAUAUUCGCUAACAACGAAGAACCGGUAGCACUGGCCGCUUAAGCAGUGCAUCCCCUCGUGGGAUCAAAGCUCUGCGGAUAUCGCCGCUGUAUUCCGCAGGGUCCAAAGGAAGCGGCUGCACACAGUUAACCAAGCUGUCAAGAUACUGUGCCAAGACAAUCUUGCCAGACCACUCUGUACAGUCUGUCCGUGAGGAUGGCAGAGGAGGUAUGAAGACGGACUAAGCGUGUAGAGGAACCGGCAAAGGCGGUUUGGACACGGGUUCAACUCCCGUCAGAUCCACUC
rnacentral:tmRNA from 1 species